UUCCGUCCUGGCUAACCGGAUGGGAGGAGUCUCCCAGAAGGGACAUAAAAAGCAGGGGGACCGUUUGCCUCGUUCACUUCCUUCAUUCAUCUGGUCGAGAUGGAGAACGAUCCGCGAGCCACUACCUGCUGCAAAGGUGUGAGAAGAUUGGGGCAAGCCUCACCGCAGAACACUCAUUGGGUUGGUCUGCGGUGUAUUACCACUGAGCAAAGCGACCAGAACAUUCACUGAGGAGUUUGAAGAAGGAAGCUACCCCAGCAUCUCAAUAUGGCCUUUUUGACUGGCUACUCGAAGUCACCUAUUGAAGUCUCAAGAUGAUUCAUUGACUGCUUCAGCAAAGAGAUUGCGGUGCUUCUAGCUGAAGAUACUCUACUGGCUUUGGAAUAUGCCGUCUUCUCUCAAACGGUGUCCAGCCAGGUUGACUGAGGAGUCUUUGGGCUUGACUGAGCUCGCUCCAGAGUUCAGGUUGUGAGAUCCCAUCUGACUUCUGGUCCCCAGGUUAGGCAGUGUCGUGGCCAGUCUACUUGUAUUGGUUGUGAGAUCCUGUCUGACUUCUGCUCCCAGGUUAGGCAGUGUCGUGGCCAGUCUGCUUGUAUUGAAUUCUUCAGGAGAAUGACUGCUUGCAAGUGCAUGAGUCAGGACAGAACAAUGGCGUCGUCAUGAAGAUCCGUCAGUUGUGUUCAACCAAGAUUGCUGCUGUUAACAAAAUUCCUCUAGAGAUGGUUGCGAAUGCUUUGAUAACAUUGUACAUCUUAAUUUAACAUAACUUAUUCUGUACUUGAAAUAAAAAUAAAUUCAGCUACAA